UUGCAGAGGAAGAUGGAGAAUUUUGUGGGUUUUUGUGCCCAAAUUCCUUUAGUUAGGCUAUCUUUGUAGCUCUUGUCCCUAAUUUUCUCACAAAUAGUUGCUAGUUUUUUAUUUGUGUUCCCAUUCCUCCAUUGUAUGGUGUAGUUAGUGCCAUAAUCCAGUAGGUUGUUUGCACUAGGUCUCCCCUCUAUUACAUAUUUUCAGAAAUGUGAGUUUGUACUAUUUUGGAUUUGGAUGUCCAUUAGUGCUU
rnacentral:lncRNA from 1 species